rnacentral:lncRNA from 1 species
UGAGUCCAAGUACCACUGGUCCCUGAAUCUCUCUUCUUCUAUUGUUGUAACCAUCAACAACGUCUCUUCUUCUUCAUGUUUCAUCAGCUUUGCAUAAGUUUCUUGAUUCUUCUGCUUUUCUAGACAAUCACUAGAAUAAUGACCAUACUUCUGACAAUUGUAACACUGAAUGUGACUCUUGUCUAGAUUUUGCCCACCACCUCUUCCUCUACCUACAACACCACCUCUUUGGUUGCCUUGGCUCCAGGGUUUUCUCUUAUUCAACCAGUUUCCUUCUUGCCGAUUUCGACCAGUCGAAUUAUUGUAGCCUCCUCUGCCUUUGUUGCCAUUCUAAC